UACCGAAAAAAUGGAAGGGGCUAAGAGGUGCGUUUAUGCCGCUUCAUACCUUACCCUCGUUUUGAUAAUAGACCUCGUUUUGACAAGUCGCAAGCAUUGUGGCUGAGCUUACCGGCCUACUGCAAGGUUGAGUUGCUGUUUUAUUAAUUGUAGAAAGUUUAUACGCAACGAAAUCAUGCCAGUUGCAACAAGAGGGUUUUUCAUAACAGUCAUAGCUGGUGCAUUAAUUGGCGCCACUGUCGGUUUCUAUAUCAAAGAUCAAAAGGAAAUAAAAGGAUUGGAAGAGGAAAUCCCUCAAUUAGAAGAAAGAAUAUCCAAGAAAAGGAAAGUUGUAGAAGAACUACAGAAGCUUUCAAAAAACAGGUGAGAUUCUGACAGUGAAUGGAAGCAGAAUGGAGGGAAUGGAUGAUGAAAGAAUAGUUGACUAUCAAGUGAAGAAAAUAUUUGGUGUUUUCAAUGUGUUUGCGUUUGUUCUGAAAUUAAUCGCUCUAGUCAGCUGUCAAAUUGCUGUAGAUAGAAUAUGUUAAUUAAAGUACUUUGAUGUUUUUCUGAA